CCUACGGGUGGCAGCAGUAGGGAAUGUUCGGCAAUGGGGGGAACCCUGACCGAGCAACGCCGCGUGAAGGAAGAAGGUAUUCGUAAUGUAAAGUUCUGUUAACAGGGAAGAAAGAGAAAUUGGACGGGACCUGAAGAAUAAGCACCGGCUAACGACGUGCCAGCAGCCGCGGUAAUACGUAGGGAGCGAGCGUUAUCCGGAAUGAUUGGGCGGAAAGGGUGCGGAGAGGGCAUAGUAAGUCUUUUGUAAAAAUGCUGGGCUCACCCCAGUAGGGCAAAAGAUACUGCAAUGCUAGAGUAUGCCAGAGGCCAGUGGCACUCCCUUUGUAGCGGUCAACUGUGUCCAUAUAUGUCAG
rnacentral:rRNA from 1 species